rnacentral:tRNA from 1 species
GGAGGAUUAGCUCAGUUGGGAGAGCACCUGCCUUACAAGCAGGGGGUCGCAGGUUCAAGUCCUGCAUCCUCCACCA